rnacentral:lncRNA from 1 species
GGUUAUUUGGGUUCUUUCUCUCCUCUUUUUAGUGAGUCUGGCCAGGGGUUUGUCAAUUUUGUUCACCUUUUCAAAGAACCAGCUCUUGGUUUUAUUAAUUUUCUCUAUUGUUUUUUGAGUCUCUAUUUUAUUGAUUUCUUCUUUGAUCUUUAUAAUUUCCUUCCUUCUGCUGACUUUAGGACUUUUUUGUUCUUCUUUUUCUAAUUCAUUUAGGUGGAGGGUUAAGUUGUCAAUUUGGGAUCUUUCUUCUUUUUUGAGAAAGGCCUGUAUUGCUAUAAAUUUCCCUCUGAGCACUGCUUUCGCUGAACCCCAUAGAUUUUGAGAGGUUGUGUCUUUAUUAUAAUUUGUUUCAAGGUAGUUUUUAAUUUCCUUCUUGAUUUCCUCAUUGACCCAUUGGUUUUUUAGUAGCAUGUUGUUUAGUCUCCAUGUAGCAGGUUUUUUCUCUUUCCUUUUCCCAUGGUUGAUUUCUAAUUUCAUGGCGUUGUGGUCAGAGAAGAUACUUGAAAUAAUUUCUAUGCUCCUAAAUUUAUUGAUGUUAUCUUUGUGCCCCAAUAUGUGGUCAAUUCUUGAGAAUGUUCCAUAUGCACUUGAGAAGAAUGUGUAUUCUGAUUUUUUUGGAUGUAGUGUCCUGAAGAUAUCAAUUAAGUCUAACUUUUCUAUUGUUUCCUUUAGGAUCUCUGUUGCUUUAUUGAUUUUCUGUCUAGAGGAUCUGUCUAUUGAUGUGAUGGGGUAUUAAAGUCUCCUACUAUGAUUGUAUUCCCAUCAGUUUCUCUUUUUAUGUCUGUUAGUAUUAGUUGUAGGUAUCUGGGUGCUCCUAUAUUAGGGGCAGAUAUAUUGAUGAUUGUAAUAUUCUCUUCUCGAAUGGAUCCUUUUACCAUUAAAUAGCGUCCUUCUUUGUCUUUCUUUAAAGCUUAUUUUGUCUGACAUGAGUGCUGCUACUCCUGCUUCCCUGUCUUGUCCAUUGGGAUGAAAUAUCUUUUCCCAUCUGCUCACUUUCAAUCUACAUGUAUCCUUUGCCCUAAGGUGAGUUUCUUGUAGACAGCAGAUUGAAGGUUUUUUCUUUUUUAUCCAGUCUGCCUCUCUGUGUCUUUUGAUUG